UUCGGUGUUUGAAAAAGUUUGUCACAUGCCACAACCUCCCUCUCAUCUCAGCCUAGCCCUCUAAAAAAUCCCAACUAGCCCACCUAAACCUACUCUGCGAUCGGUGUCGUCCGAUCACGAUCGGAUGGUCCAAAAAUGGGCAAAAGCCCCUAAACCUAUCCCUCGCCUGCUAUAAAUAGAUAGCCAACAGUCCAUCUUUAAAACCCUAGCCCUAACCCUCCUUAAAAUCCGUGACAGCCGCCACCUAGUAGCCUGCCACCUCUCUGUGCCUCCUCUCUCCUCCCACGAGCAAGCAGCGGCCUGCUCGGGCCCGAGAUGGCCCUAGCUCUAUCGCUGCCCAGCGGGUUCUCGUGAGCCUCGCUACCCUCGCGUGCUCUAGAUCUCGAGCUGCGCGCACUCGUCUCCGCCCCCGGAUGCCGCCGGCAAGCAGGUCACCGGAGACUGAGCCCGUGCCUCCCCGUAUAGCCCGGGCCCGACAGCAUCUCCUCCUAGCUCCGCCUGCCCCGCCAUGGUGUGGCUCGUUGAGCUCGGAUCCGGCCGCCCUGAAUUUUCCCCAGUCGGAUCUCCGCGCCGUCGACCACUGCAUUCGUGCCGCCGAACCACCGCAUCCGCAUCGCCACACCAUCGCACUAGCGCCCCAUCUCCAUGGCCUCACCUGCAUCUUCCCGCUCGGGACCGGGAGGACAAACCCCCACUCUACCACAGCUUGGGUCGCGCCGAGCCGCUCCACGUGGCCCAUCCGGCCUCGUGGACCGCAGCGCACCGGCCUAGCUUCGCGCAUGCGAGCGCCCGGAUCCAACCCAUUCGCGAGUUGCAGGUAUAAGUAAAGCGAUACUUUGACGUGAGCGCAAUGAUUGUUCUAUUUGGAGUUUCUUAUUCUUCUUCAUGGAUCAUAGGAUGCGUUCCAGGGCCGCACCUUGGGAUAGCAAGGAUGGACAUCGUUUUAUCGUUUGGUUUCUUUCGUAGUCGGACCAGGCUCAUCUAUAUGCAGGUUGAAUGUAUUAUUGUAUUGAGAUGUUCAUGAUUAUCUUGUGGUGAGUGUAUGCCAAUUCCAUAUACUCAUCUCUUCUUUACAUGUACUUCUAACGAUAUCCAUUCUUGCAAAACAACGAGAUGUGCUUAUAUCACUGUCGAGGCCCCCGUGCAAAAAUAAGGAUAGGAUCACAUCUUGGAUGUUACAAGGGCCCACCAACGUGUCUAUUGGAAAUAUGCCCUAGAGGCAAAAAUAAAGUGGUUAUUAUUAUA